CACAAGGGAUGUUCGACUAAGACCGCCACGUCCUGUGGCAACGUCGAACGACCCUGCGUCGUGCAGG
rfam:Halobacillus halophilus DSM 2266 complete genome